GUCUAUUUAUUUCGUUUGUGUAGCGCACACGCGAGUGCAUUUUGUGAGAGAUGUAACCAAAGUGACUGAAUUUGCAACGGCUGUAGUUGGGCGCACUAGAGUGCUUAGUCACAGGUUGUAAUGGAGGAGAGAAGGGCCAUGGAUUCAGCAGGGCACCAGGACAGAGUGCUUAAUCUGGUGGACCUCCCCUCCGAAAUCCUGGAUAACAUCUUGCGGCACGCCAGCUUUGCAACUGUCGGCACUGUUCGCAUGGUGUGCCGGCACCUAAACCAGGCAGCCUCCUCUCUGCUCAACUACGAGUUUGUGCGCCUACGGCUGGCAAUGCAGCAGCGCUUCCAGUCCAUCAAGGCCCAGAUGCCCCGGAGAGAGUCGGCCCGGCGCAAGCACCCGCUGUCACGCGAGUGUGACAUCAUCGAGACUGUGCACAUGCGCCUCACCCUGCUCCACAUGACCUUUGGCAAGCACAUCGAGCGCAAGCAUUGCUGCUUCUUCCCAGGAGAGAUCCUGGACGAAGUGCACCGCAUCCUGUGGUACGUGGAGGUGACCCCCACCCUGAGCCGUGCUUACAAGGUGACCGACGAGCUGUUUGACCUCACCACCAUGGCCAUGGAGUACUUCAAGGAGCACAUAGAGCCGACCCUCCCGGAGAUCAGCUACUUCGGCGCAGACUUCCUCGACUACACCCCCUCCUUCUCCUCGUCCCUGAAGAGCCAGCUGUCCUUGAUGGAGAUGCCCCCGUCCACAAGCACCCAGGGGUCGUGCCCCUCUGCCCCACUGUCCCCACAAGCGCCGCCAGUCAACCCCACCGUCAAGAAGCGGCUGCGCAAGCUCAGGGAGAGCAUGAAAAAGAACAGCGGCCAGGUGCUGGCGCUGAGGAGGGAGCUGAAGCUUACCCGGCGACGGGUGGCCAGCCAGCAGCGGCACAUUGCGGAGCUGAGGGCCCGCUACGACGACUACGACCAGAAGCUGCAGACGACGUCGCACAAGCUGAACGCGGUGCUGCAGGAGCUGAGCCGCUGCAAGACAGAGCUCCAGUACUGGCGCUCCAAGUCGCCUGCCGUGACAUCCUGCUCGUGCGGGAAGACCACCCCGACUCCGCUGCACGAGCCUCCCCACUUUGGGGACGCCCCCGACCAGCCCGCUCUGCCUCUGGAGGGGGUCGACUUCACCCCCAUCGACGCGCAGGAGGCCUGCGCAUCCACCUCCGUAGCACUGGGCGAAGAAGCGCAGCCGAAGCUGGUUCCGGCCUGCUACUGCGCACCCCCGGAGAGCGUGUCUGCGCUCUGCCUGGGGGACCCCGAGAGCCUGUGCACUGAGGAAGCCGGGGCCAAGGCGGCCCGGUCGGCUAAGGCCCCCUCCCGGGGCUGCAAACGCAAGCUGAACCUGAGCAUGGCCCCCUUGCUACUCAAGAUGCCCAAAGUACAAAGGAUUCCCUCGCCAAAUGCCGAGUAGCCCAUCUCCAUCAGGUGGCCCAUCCAUCAACCCACAUCUCUUUGUGUGUUUGCUUCCGCCUCCCCCCUCCCCAACCCAACUCCUCUUGGCCAGAUACUUUACUAGGGAACACAUCUCGCUUCGCAAAAUGCCAAUGGCUUCGGCGCUGACAGGUUUUGUAUUGUUGAAGCGGCUGGACAUGCACAGCCGGGGGGUUUUCCCCAUUUUAAAGUGGGAGAGGUGGCUGCUACCAUCUAUCGUUGUGGACUCUUCUCGAGACGGUCGUCUCAGCGAAUCUGGUAUCGGUGCAUUGGUGGCAGCCCUCUCCUGCGGCGCAAAAAACCCGAAUUAUGUAGCCUGCUCUCCACCUGUCACCAUGUUUGGAAGUGAAGGACAUCACAGUGGACUUUCGAUAUGAAACCCAGGAUAUGCCGUUCACCACUCGUCAUUUUGAAAUCGACCCAACUUUCCCAAACCCAGCAGAAGUACACGCAAUAAACUGAAGAUGUCGCUCCUCAAACGUCCAGAGGACCUUUUCUUUUUUUUAAAAUCGGUGUCUCCUGCGCCUGGAUCGUGUGAGUGAAGGGUCGUGGCAAUGGUCAGGAUUGCACGGAUUUGCAAAGCAAGGCGGGUCCCGCGAGGUCGGGAGGAGAGUGCAUCGACGGCCGUCUUUGUGAUGGCAGCGGCUGCGAAUGUGUCAACUUAUCUCCAAUGCCGAAUAUCCAGAGUGACAGUUUAAUGUCUUGCAAAGAGCAGCAGCAGCAUAGACAUGUACCAACCUCAUCGCAGGUAGCACUUGGCGCUUCGAAGAAAUCUAGUGGAGAGACGUGUGGGGACGCUUCCGACAUCAGGUUUCCUCUUGUUUUUGCACUGCCCCCUAGUGUGUGGUAUUACGCCCUGUGAGCACAGUUUGCUCGUUAACUCGUUUCUAAGUAUAUUUAUUUGUUCCCCAAUUUAUGAGCUGCUGCAACAAUUCAGUUGUGCCAAAUUUAGAAAGAAAAGAAAAAAAAAAAAGCUUUGUGCAUGUUUAAGUUUUUUUUGUUGUUUUAGAACGAGUGUAUGUAACGUAUAGUACUGAUCAAAUGGAAAUUCCAGACUUUGGGGCACUUUGCAUGUGUGCAAUGCCUAUUUGUGUUGACUUCGUUUCGCAGUGUGAUGGUGUGUGGUAGGAUUGUAGGUGUCGUGCAGGUAUCUGAACAAUCAACCCCAGUGUGUCGUGCAAGCAAUGGGAAGAGUUGUUUUUUUUUCUUCUCUCCCCCGAGUUUUGAUUGACAGUGGAAAGCGAGGAUUGUUGGGCAUAUGCCGAAAGGGUUUGCGAGAUGCGGAUGCCACAUUCCCAGUAUGUGGAUGAAUUAUACUGGCUGUGUGCGAUUUUAUUUUUAGCAGAGAGAAAAGCAAGAUAUAUAAAUACUAUAUAUACAUACUAUACUUUUUUUUUUACUUCCAAAUAAAUUAUAAAUGUAGCUGAACUUUUUGAAGGCAGUCUAUAAUUGCGCACUUAUUUUUUUGCAACUGUUUUGUUUUUCACUACCUGCUGUAAUAUUCUUUGCUUUGCUAUAAUUUGUGACUAACUUCUGUACCUUCAAGGUUGUUGGGAAAGUACUAUAUUUUAUUUUCACUUAGGUCCACGAAAGAUCUCAAUUCUUCCCUGUCACGACAUAAGAAUGCAUGUUACAACUUAGUGAUGUGUAUUUUGCACAGAUAAAUUGACUAGCUUAUACUUGUAAGCACAACAAAAAAAACUAUUUAUUGUUUCUUGUAAUAAAAAUUGGUAACACAA